AACGGCGAAGUGAAGCGGCAAAAGCUCAAAUUUGAAAUCUGGCUCCAUGCGGAGCCCGAGUUGUAAUUGGAGAGGACACUUCGGGUGCGGCCACGGCAUAAGUUCCUUGGAACAGGACGUCAUAGAGGGUGAGAAUCCCGUCUUUGGCUGCUGGACCGCGCCCAUGCGAAGUUCCUUCGACGAGUCGAGUUGUUUGGGAAUGCAGCUCUAAGUGGGUGGUAAAUUUCAUCUAAAGCUAAAUAUUGGCCGGAGACCGAUAGCGCACAAGUAGAGUGAUCGAAAGGUUAAAAGCACCUUGAAAAGGGAGUUAAAUAGCACGUGAAAUUGUUGAAAGGGAAGCGCUUGCAACCAGACUCGGUCGUGGGGGCUCAGCGGGCAUGCGUGCCUGUGUACUCCCCCAUGCUCCGGGCCAGCAUCAGUUCUGGCGGUUGGUUAAAGGCCUCUGGAAUGUAUCGUCCUCCGGGACGUCUUAUAGCCAGGGGCGCAAUGCGGCCAGCCGGGACUGAGGAACGCGCUUCGGCACGGAUGCUGGCAUAAUGGUUGUAAGCGGCCCGUCUUGAAACACGGACCAAGGAGUCUAACAUCCACGCGAGUGUUCGGGUGUCAAACCCGUGCGCGCAGUGAAAGCGAACGGAGGUGGGAGCCCGCAAGGGUGCACCAUCGACCGAUCCUGAAGUCUUCGGAUGGAUUUGAGUAAGAGCGUGGCUGUUGGGACCCGAAAGAUGGUGAACUAUGCCUGAAUAGGGUGAAGCCAGAGGGAAACUCUGGUGGAGGCUCGCAGCGGUUCUGACGUGCAAAUCGAUCGUCAAAUUU
rnacentral:rRNA from 1 species